GUUUUGAUUGCUCAAAUCUAAAACUAACUUUGAACAGUGUACUACGUUAAUUUAUCAUUGAGAUGUGCGUGUGUGUCACGUUUUAGCAUCGUUUCUUGUUCAUUACAAUGCCGGGGGUUCUUGGCUUUUUUGUCAUUACAUGUUUGAUAUGGACAGUAUCCAGCUGGUUAAGGUCAGGAGUUGAAAAACGCUUAAAUUUAGAAACGGGGAAAAACAAUUAAGGUUAGCUUUAGGAAAAUGUGUUUUGUUUGGUUUAUUUGGCAUGAUAUUACUGCAUCUUUAAACAAGCACAAGACAAAUGUAUGUCAAAUCAAAUGUAUGUAUGUUUUUUUUUUCCCAAGCAUUGAUGCAUCUCGAGAAGACAGAAGCCUUGGUAGACUUGUCAAUGAUGACCACCUUCAUCCAGACUGUAAAAUGAAAAGGAUGACGUCUGAAAUGAAACCACAUAUAUGUCUCUUUGCUUUGAGGGACAUACAUGCUGGAGAGGAAAUACCAUACACCUACAGAGGAACUAAUUGGCCAUGGAGGAAAAAGGAUGGAGCAGAGCCCCAACUUUCCACUGAGUUUCCUGAGACCGCCAUGUACACGAACCAAGACAAAGACUCAACGCGCUCCCAAAGCAUUUCCCAGGAUGCAGCAGAGCCCCAACUUUCCACUGAGUUUCCUGAGACCGCCAUGUUCACGAACCAAGACAAAGACUCAACGCGCUCCCAAAGCAUUUCCCAGGAUGCAGCAGAGCCCCAACUUUCCACUGAGUUUCCUGAGACCGCCAUGUUCACGAACCAAGACAAAGACUCAACGCGCUCCCAAAGCAUUUCCCAGUUCAUCCUUCAGUUUGUCAAUCAGUCAUCAAAAGAAAGUGGGAAGAAGAGGAAGUACAAGCAGUUGAGAGGCAUCUGACUUCCUUCAUAACCUCCCUUACUGUUCCAAGGAAACAAGACUGCGAGAAUUGUCUAUAACUUGAAAACGAAGCACUACAAUAUAGAGAUUGCGCUGCCAUAAAAUUUUAUGUGAAAAAUCGAAUCAGAGCCCUUAAAAAUAAACAUUAAGGCAAGGUUUUUUCUGAGAUGCUUUGGGCUAUGUGCACAGUGCCCCCAUGUUAUUUCAAAUUAGCGACGGUUUCCUAUCUUUUACAUUUACGAUUUGCAGAGUCUCACACAAAUGAAGAGAUGGCUCAAGAUUUUGUAAAGGACAGCGCAUAAAAGUUAGAAUGUGACUGGAGCAGGUUAAAAAAUGAUGUAAGAUGGAACGACUUCACUGGAGGAAACCUCCAGGUUCAUAACAGUGGGUGAUUUUGUCUUAAGGCUAACCACUAACACAAAAUAAUUUAAAAUUCAAUUAAAACUAGUGCAAAGUUUUGAACGAGUCUGCGCAAAACGGGAUCAAGUAGUUAGUUUUAAAUUUUAUUGAGUUGUUUACACAUUAUACUGUCAUUAUUGAACACUAGCCUUAAGAUCGUGAGAUAAAAGCUUCUCCCUUACGACCGGGGCAAGAUUCACAUCCAACAAGCUUGUAACAAGUUGCAGUGACCAUCAGUAACUCGCUGUCCUUUACAAAAUCUUGACCCAUCUCUUGAUUUGUGUGGGACCCUGCUAAUCGUGUAAGUAAAAGACGGGGGAGAAGGACAGUGUCGCUUUUUUCCAGCUGGAAAUCAUGUGGGGACAGUGUGCAGCCCAUUGAAACUUGGCUCAAUAAAUUUAGAUUUUGUUGCUGGAAAUAUAAGAAAUUUUUGUGAUUUUUAUGCUUAAAUUCCUUAAACUUGUAAUGCAUUUUUUCUCAUGUCCGUAAUCUACAGCAUACGUUUGAAAUUGAUAUCUCUACAUUCAAGUUGAUUACCUUUUUUUACUGCAGUCAUCAUACAGUCCCGAUCAAAAGUUUAAGACCUUUUGCAAAAUGGUAGAAAACAAAGAAAAUCACAUUUUGCAUGGUUAGAACUUAACAAGGUUCCAAGUAGAACUUCAAUAUGCAACAACAAGAAAUGGGAGUGAGACAAAAAAAAGAGUAAACCUUUAAUUUCCACUUGACUUUUUUUGUUCCAUAACCCUCAGUCAUAGAAUUCCUUAAAAGAUCCUUUCUUGCCGUUUCCCACCUCAGCAGUGAUGGCACGCAGCAAGAGACUGUGCUUAUGCAGCACAACCUGACCACGUUUAAACAUUGCUGUCAGGACGUCAUGAGUGUGAGUACCUGACUGAAAAUGACUUUGAAUGAACAUUUGCACAGAUUUGGUCUUUUAAAGGCAUGUGGUCCUAAACUUUUUAGCAGCUGCAAAACGGUCUUAAUUUAAUUGUUACUUCAUUUGUUGUUUUCAAUAAGAGUUAUUCUCAAUUUUUUUGGUUUGUGUCACUCAAAUUUCUUCUUGUGGAAGUUCUGAUUGGUAUCUUGAUCAGAUUCAACCAUGCAAAAUGUUGCCAUCUUUUAAUUAGAGUUAAACUUUUGAUUGGGCCUGUAUAGCAUAAAUCUCUUCUUCCCACUUUUUUUUCAAUGUGUUAAAAGCAGCGUUGGGACUACUCCAUUAAUGUUAUCCAACUACUGAUAAUAGAAAAGUCCUUCUACAAGUAGUCUUGUUACUUUGAUUACGUUAUUUCAAAAGGAAGGAAAGACUUCAUUUGGGACGAGGAUCGUCCAGUGUCUUGACGUGCAGCCAAUUGGAUCCUCAGUUUGGUGACAUUUUUUGGGGUCUUUCACUUGACUUUUUGUUCCAAAAGUCAUCUGAGGACUAAUUACUACUUUGGGUUUGCCCUUUUAAGUGUUUAAUAAGUUCAAUGUGAAGCGUUUCACAGGUAAAUAACUCUCAACCACAGUAUUCUAUAGAGGUACGCCAAUCAGAUCAGUCACUGAUCAUGGCCUGUUCAGCAGAUUUGUAAAAUAUGUUGAUCAAACGUGGAUUUCACAUACAUUCUUUCAAUCUAUAUUCUGGUGAAAAUUACGCAGCAUUGCACUGCUCUAAACCAUAAAUGUAUUUUUUAUUGUAAUUAGUGGUUACACAACAGCUCUGGAUGUACUGCUCUAAUUGCCGACUGUAUCCCUCCCCACCUGGCGGCUCUACUUGUGACAGCAGCGGUGUGUAGUGUAACUAAUCAAAACAACCAUGGCGCGAGAGUCUGCUAUGCUUAAGACAAAAGCAUAAUGAAGGUUCAUGACCAUAAAAUAGCCAUAUAUGGACAUAUAACUCAGACAUUAAUUAGUAAUAAUAACGGACUAUAAAAAUACUAUACAAUAAACUAUAAAUAAAGAUAAAUGAUUGAAGCACCUCUAUAAUGUAUACAACAAUUUCUUGAUAGAAGUUUUCAGCUGUCAAUUGUAAUGAGUUGUUACUUGGUUACAAUGGGAUGUUUUGUUUGUAAACAAAUAUAAUUAUCCCCAACUGUUCAAAAGUUAUGAUGUGAUUCUUUCAAUUCAAAUCAAAAUUGAAUAGUGAUUACCUUCUUUGUCUAUGACUAAGUAACAUUUUUGAGAGAGCAUUUUAAGAAGAGAUAUUUUUUCACAAUAAUACAGGCAGGGCAUUUGUGUUGAAUAGUUAUGAACGCUAUAAACUAUGUAUGGUUGGGCUUUAAAGUAUUUAAAAACCUAACUGUAUAUGAUUGGUCUUAAAAGUAUUUAAAAACCUGAAACUGUGUAUGCGUGGGCUUAAAGGUAUUCAAAAACCUGAGACUGUGUAUGAGUGGGCUUAAAAGUAUUCAAAAACCUGAGACUGUGUAUGAGUGGGCUUAAAAGUAUUCAAAAACCUGAGACUGUGUAUGAGUGGGCUUAAAAGUAUUCCAAAACCUGAGACUGUGUAUGAGUGGGCUUAAAAGUAUUCAAAAACGGUGAGUAAAAGUAUUCCAAAACCUGAGACUGUGUAUGAGUGGGCUUAAAAGUAUUCCAAAACCUGAGACUGUGUAUGAGUGGGCUUAAAAGUAUUCAAAAACCUGAGACUGUGUAUGAGUGGGCUUAAAAGUAUUCAAAAACCUGAGACUGUGUAUGAGUGGGCUUAAAAGUAUUCAAAAACCUGAGACUGUGUAUGAGUGGGCCUCACAAGUAUUUAAAAACCUGGAAGGUCCCCAGAAAUAUAGUAAAAGUCAGGUGUGGAAUUUUUUUUGUGUGUAUUGGGGUUUUGAGGUGAUAUUACCGUUUGUAAAUUCUAGGGGACUUUGCCUGAUUUUUUUGGAUGCUGUAGACCCUACAGAAAGGGUGGUUCCCACAAGUGACGAUUUAGUCAGGUGUCCCCACAAUUGAG
ensembl:lncRNA